rnacentral:lncRNA from 1 species
AUGGCCUAUUACAGACAUGUGCUAGCAAAUGACAAAUCAGAAACAACUGACAGACACCCUGGGCUGUCCUAUGUCAAGCUUAAGCUACCACUGGUACAAGUGAGAUGCAGGAAGCGAUAUAAAAAAGUGGUCUAUAUAUUUCACAUCACUUCCUCUCUUGGGCUCUUUUUGCAGAGAGAUGGCUCUGGCUCUUUUGGCAGAGAGGUGACUGGUGACAGGGUGCUGGAUGUCUCAGCAACUUGGUGUGGCUGCAACUAUUGUCCAGGUUUGGUGAAGGGGGCAGACAUGAGCAACUGGAGGAAUCAGUAUUCUUAAAGAAAGUGCUUCUUGAGUUAAAGUCCUAAAAGAAGUUAAAGAUUCUACAAGACUAGAUUUGUAGAAGAAAGAAGAAUUCCAGGCAUGUGGGAUGAAGUGGCAAAGGUGCAGUGAAGAAGAAUAUGGAAGACUGGGUAUGGGAAAUAUCAAGUAAGUUGAUUAUAGAACAUAGAAUACAUUCGGGUAUAAUGUGCAGUAAAUCUUGAGAGAAAAACUUGUACUGAAUUGUGAAAGACUUUAAAAGUCACCAGAAGAGGUGGUAUUUUUUUUCCAGAAAUAAUGAGUGAUUGGAGCUUGUUCAGAGACAGCAUG